rnacentral:rRNA from 1 species
CGCGUAGGCGGUUUUUUAAGUCAGAUGUGUAAUCCCCGAGCUUAACUUGGGAACUGCAUCUGAGACUGGAAGGCUAGAGUACUGGAGAGGGUGGUGGAAUUCCUCGUGUAGCGGUGAAAUGCGUAGAGAUGAGGAGGAACACCAGUGGCGAAGGCGGCCACCUGGACAGUAACUGACGCUGAGGCGCGAAAGCGUGGGUAGCAAACAGGAUUAGAUACCCUGGUAGUCCACGCUGUAAACGAUGAACACUUGGUGUGGAGGGAGUUGACCCCUUCCGUGCCGGAGCUAACGCGUUAAGUGUUCCGCCUGGGGAGUACGGUCGCAAGGCUGAA